GACGAACGCUGGCGGCGUGCUUAACACAUGCAAGUCGAGCGGAAAGGCCACUUCGGUGGUACUCGAGCGGCGAACGGGUGAGUAACACGUGAGUAAUCUGCCCUUGGCUUUGGGAUAGCCACCGGAAACGGUGAUUAAUACCGGAUACGACCACUUCUCGCAUGGGAUGGUGGUGGAAAGUUUUUCGGCCAGGGAUGCGCUCGCGGCCUAUCAGCUUGAUGGUGAGGUAAUGGCUCACCAUGGCUUCGACGGGUAGCCGGCCUGAGAGGGGGACCGGUAACACUGGGACUAAGAAACGGCCCAGACUCCGACGGGAGGCAGCAGUGGGGAAUAUUGGGCAAGGGGCGGAAGCCUGAUCCAGCAACGCCGCGUGAGGGAUGACGGCCUUCGGGUUGUAAACCUCUUUCGGUGGGGACGAAGCGCAAGUGACGGUACCCACUAAAGAAGCACCGGCCAACUACGUGCCAGCCGCCGCCGUAAAAC
rnacentral:rRNA from 1 species